GACGAACGCUGGCGGCGUGCCUAAUACAUGCAAGUCGAACGAAGCUGUUUUAACUGGUGCUUGCACCGACUUAAACAACUGAGUGGCGAACGGGUGAGUAACACGUGGGUAACCUGCUCCAAAGCGGGGGAUAACAUUUGGAAACAGAUGCUAAUACCGCAUAACCACAGAAACAACACGGUUUCUGUGUCAAAGAUGGUUCGGCUAUCACUUUGGGAUGGACCCGCGGCGUAUUAGCUAGUUGGUAAGGUAAUGGCUUACCAAGGCAAUGAUACGUAGCCGAACUGAGAGGUUGAUCGGCCACAUUGGGACUGAGACACGGCCCAAACUCCUACGGGAGGCAGCAGUAGGGAAUCUUCCACAAUGGACGAAAGUCUGAUGGAGCAACGCCGCGUGAGUGAAGAAGGUUUUCGGAUCGUAAAACUCUGUUGUCAGAGAAGAACGUGUGCGAGAGUAACUGCUCGUGCAGUGACGGUAUCUGGCCAGAAAGCCACGGCUAACUACGUGCCAGCCGCCGCAGUAA
rnacentral:rRNA from 1 species